GGAUUGAAGGGUAGGCUCUUUAUUUCGUACCCCUGAGGCAUCCGCACUGCGUCAAUGGAUAUCUUAUAAAAUUUUCGCUGUGAUAUUUAGGGAAACUUGCUCAUACCUCUGGAGCCUAAUGUAAAAUAAGACAGUUUAGCACUUUGUAUGACUACCUACCCCUGCAGCAUAACGUAAAAUAAGAUAGUAUACCACUUUGUAUGAGUACCUACCCCUGGAGCAUAACGUAAUAUAUGGUAGUAUAGUACUUUGUAAGACUACCUACCCCUGGAGCAUAAUGUAAAAUAAGACAGUUUAGCACUUGUAUGACUACCUACCCCUGCAGCAUUAUGUAAAAUAAGGUAGUAUACCACUUUGUAUGACUGCCUACCCCUGCAGCAUAACGUAAAAUAAGAUAGUAUAGCACUUUGUAAGACUGCCUACCCCUGGAGCAUGUAGUAGUAGGAAACAACUAAUAAAUUUUCGUGAUUGUAAUAACCUUGCUGUUUUAACAGUGGAAAUAUAUUUACUUGCUUAAAGAGAUAUUAUUGCAUUGUGCAAAGCAAUUUAUAAGCAAAUUACAGUUUAUUGAAAAUGGCUCACCCUCACGUUGGACAUCUGCCCGAUGAAGAAAUCCUAAUGGAGUGUUCGGAAAUUUCAAAGAAGACGACAACUGCUUUCCCCUCGAGGAAGAAGUUUAAAUUUAGAAAACACUAAUAACUCUUUUCCUUUUAGGUCCACAGAAUCUGGGGCUUCAAGUGAUUCCAUGGAUGAUUUUGACCUGCGAAAUGCGAAGACCCGCAAAUCGGAGCUUGACUUAGCAAGGUUUGAUAACUUUUAUUGUUUACUUAGAAAAUCCAAAUAACUUGAAUAUAUAUAUAUAUAUAUAUGUUAUUACUUUUUUGGUUAUGCUUCAAUUGUUAUUAUGUACAAAAUACAUCUUUUUUGGGUAUUUUUAAACAAUUUCUUUGCAGCAAACAGAAGACUCUAAUGCCUUCUACAUUUAAAGACACCGUGAAUGAAGGAGUGGCAGCACCUGUCGAUGCUGCACUCGGUGGGAAUGUUAAGUUUUCAUCAAUGCAUGAUGUUCUACAUGCCAUUCAAGUGUUUGAAACAAAAACAACAACAAAAUUUGUUUGUUUUAAGAAAAAAAACACCACGGUAAGUUAAGAAACAAGUUUUUAACAUGUAGUAGGGACGGUGUGUAUAUGCGGCAAAUGGUUAUGGUCUUACAGGUUUUUGUGUGGCAGUAAAUUACAUUUUGAUUUUAUUCAGAUCUAAAGAAAUGUUUGGUACAAUUUAAUGACAAUAUCCCGUUUGUGGUUUAAGUCUUUCACCAAGCUGGAGUGCCAACAUGACAAGCUUAGAAUUGGUCAAAGGAAGAAACCCAGUAAAAAUGUUGACCACAUAUACCAUGAAAAACAUUAUAAAAGAGACUGCCAAGCAUUUGUAACCAUAAGGGAAAUGCUACAAUUCCCCAAUUACAAGGCAAGUUAGUGUUUUUUUUUGUGUUGCCUAUAAUAUGAAACCUGUAUUUAUUUAACCUUUUAUGCAGUUAAAUAAUGGGAAAAAAUCAGAAAAGGAAAAGGUUUCCCGAACCAUACGUUCUGUUGGUGUUAAUUCUUGUACAACUUCUUCUGUACAACAAGUUUUGAAGUUCGAUUUCCUGCUUUAACUGAUCACAUUGGUCACCCUGUUGGCCAGCCUGCAGGCAUUUUGCAAAGUGUCGACAAAAGGUUGAUUCAAAAAAUUGGUCAGUUGAUUGAUGAAAGGGUUUAUUCAAUAAUGGAAAUUAAGCGACAUUUGAGAAUGUAUGUUAUUUUGGAUCUUUUUAAAAACGAAACACCUCCGUUGGAAACCAAUCGAAGGUUCUUUCCCACAACUAAGGACAUCCGUAACCACCAUUUUAAGGCUAUUACAAAACGAAAGCUAUC